UACGUAGGUGGCAAGCGUUGUCCGGAUUUACUGGGUGUAAAGGGCGUGCAGCCGGAGAGACAAGUCAGAUGUGAAAUCCGCAGGCUCAACCUGCGAACUGCAUUUGAAACUGUUUCCCUUGAGUAUCGGAGAGGUCAUCGGAAUUCCUAGUGUAGCGGUGAAAUGCGUAGAUAUUAGGAAGAACACCAGUGGCGAAGGCGGAUGACUGGACGACAACUGACGGUGAGGCGCGAAAGCGUGGGGAGCAAACAGG
rnacentral:rRNA from 1 species